GGAGGGGACAGCUCAAGUGGUAGAGCACAAGCUUAGCAUGCAGGAGCUCCUGGGUUCAAUUCCCAGUGCCUCCU
rfam:Camelus ferus unplaced genomic scaffold scaffold345, whole genome shotgun sequence.